GUCGUCGUAAUGUGGGUGUCUAGAAUUUGAGCAAAUACGUUUAGUGCCACAAACUUUUUCACAACUUUACUAUGUGGCUACUCGUGAGUGGUUAAAUCAUGGACCCAUUAUUUUAUUUCCACUACUCACGAGGUGCCACGCAGCCAAGUUGUGGAAAAGUUUAUGGUACUAGACUUAUUCAAUUUGAGCACCUCACUAUCCAUGUGUGUGCCCCGGACCUUGUGGAUCUCAUGAGUUCUUGGAAAUUACUAGACGAACCCACGGGUUGGUCACACAAACAUGCUCACACUUGGCUUGGUCUUAACAAUUUUCCUUUUUUAGUUUAAAAAGCGUAGCCUGUAUGUGUUCCUGUUUGAUAUAGUUGACCAAAUAGUGUUGCAAGUAACAUUAAUUGUAGUGUUUGAUUGUGUUGUUUUUGGAUAUGAAAGCCAUGUUGCAUUUACUCUGUCCUUACUAAUCUUAUCAGCAUCACAGUCUGUAAAGAAAAUCAUCGAAAUCAAUCUUUACAUGCUUGGCACUAUGGCUGGUGGAGCUGCUGAUUGUCAGUUUUGGCACAGAAAUCUGGUCAUUAAGGAAAUGUAUUUAAAUAUUUUAUGCUUUUUUUUCCCCCAAAUUUAUAGUACAAAUAAUUUUGAGUUAGUGAAUAUAUAUCUUUCAUGAUAGAUUAGUAUCUUUAAAUCUGUGCUGUCUACUUUGUGGCGCUGAUGUUGUCAAGCAAAGUUGGAGGUGUUAAGGGAACUUUUUUAGUAUGGUGAAGUUUAAUGCUUUGUUUAUACAAAUAAACAAUAAUGGAUUUCAAUAUUCAUUCAAUGGCUGAGAUUAUCGUUGGUUAGAAAGUGGUGUAGUGGUGGCGGUUUCUACAUACUGGGUUAUCUUGACCUUUUUUUCUUUUUUCUUUUUUAAAUAAAAAAAAUUACAUGUGUUUUCAUCAUUGCACUUAUUCCUUACUUCUUUUCAAUGAUGGACUUUAGAAAUGGUAGAAAUAAUAAUAAUCCCUCCCAAUAAGGAAAAUGAAUAUGAUUGGUUAAAGAGUCACCUCUAAUUUGACUGUUUAUGUGAAGUGAGAUAGGCAUGUUUCUUAAUUAUCUUAAUUAUUUAAGUGGUGGCUUGUCAAUUGCCAUGGCCCAAUGAAGAGACCAUAGCCUAGCCAUGGAAAAUGGUUUGGUCUCCUGGGCAUGACCUGGUGUUAAAAUGACGCAGUGCCAACUGCAUGAAUUGGCAAACAAGAGCAGAAUUUCAGUUACCCGGGCAUCAAAGUUGUUGGCAAACAUUCUGUGUACUCUUACAGUGGAAUGGGUUUGUCUGUUGGGACCAUGAUUGCUGGAUGGGAUGAAACGGGUCCUGGACUAUAAUAUGUGGACAGUGAAGGAGGAAGGCUCAAAGGAACACGAUUUUCGGUUGGAUCUGGUUCACCCUAUGCUUAUGGUGUCCUGGAUAAUGGCUAUCACUAUGAUAUGUCAAUUGAAGAAGCUGCAGAGUUGGCUAGAAGGUCUAUUUAUCAUGCAACAUUCCGUUAUGGAGCCAGUGUGGAGUUGCUGGCGGUUCUCUCUCUCUCUCUCUGUGAACACCACACAUCCAUGAUCACAAUACGAUUUAAGCUUGUUCUUUUUAUCAGUUUAUUAUGUGGGGCCCAGUGGAUGGAAGAAGCUUUCUGGUGAUGAUGUUGGAGAACUUCAUCACAAGUACUAUCUGGUUAUGCCAAGUGCAGUGGAGCAGGAAAUGGUUGAAGUAGCUGGGGCAGAAGGUUCCUUCUGAACUUGGACCCUACUGUAGAUUCCUAGACAUGUUUACUAGCCAGAAAAUCCUUCAAGCACAUGUAUGAUCUGUUGGUCUUUGAAACAAUUUAUAGAUAGACUAGUCUUUAAGGUUAUCGGAGCCCCAUUAUUCAUGGCUAUAUAGUUUUAUUGGGCAGUUUGUUGUUGCUGAUGUUCACAAAUUUUAAUCAAACUCUAAUUGAUUUUACUA